CUCUUCCGAUCUGAAAAAUUAAGCAACAAUCACUGCUUAGUUCCGUUGAGAUGCAGUACAGUAUGUGCACCGGCAUCCGCCAGCAUCACAAUCGCCAACCGCACCGGGGCCAACGUUGAUUUGACAGUUGCGGAGACAAGCCUUGGGGUUACAUGGCCCAGGGAUGACUGGGGUCUGCCGGCAGUCUUCAGGGAUUAGCGAGCCGCCACAUACCUGAGGAUAGCAGUGCAACAAGGGCAAGCGAAAGUAGUAGCAUCUUGUAGAACGACCUCAUCCUGUCUUGAUGGUGGCAACCUGAGAGAGAGAGAGAGAUUGAGAUUGAGAAAGCGUGUUUACUGGGAGGUUAAGCCAAUCUUU